rnacentral:rRNA from 1 species
CAGCAGCCGCGGUAACACGUAGGUCCCGAGCGUUGUCCGGAUUUAUUGGGCGUAAAGCGAGCGCAGGCGGUUAGAUAAGUCUGAAGUUAAAGGCUGUGGCUUAACCAUAGUACGCUGUGGAAACUGUUUAACUUGAGUGCAAGAGGGGAGAGUGGAAUUCCAUGUGUAGCGGUGAAAUGCGUAGAUAUAUGGAGGAACACCGGUGGCGAAAGCGGCUCUCUGGCUUGUAACUGACGCUGAGGCUCGAAAGCGUGGGGAGCAAACAGGAUUAGAUACCCGUGUAGUCCCUGUCUCUUAUACA